rnacentral:lncRNA from 1 species
AGGUGGGCCUAAUGUAAUCACAAGAGUCCUUAAAUGGGGAAGAAGGGAGCGGAAGAGUCAGGAUCAGAUACAGCAGAGGGAGAAAGACUUGCCCGGCUGGUGCUGGCCUUGAAGGUAGAAGGGGCUGUGACCUAAGGAAUGUGGGCGGCCUCUAGGAGCUGGAAAAGGCAAGACGUGGAUUCUCUCCUGGAGCCUCCAGAAGGGCUCCCAGGCCUGCCGACACCUUGAUAUUAGCCCAGAGAGACCCUUUUCAGACUUCUGACCUCCAGAGUUGUGAGACGUGGAUGCUGUUUGGACCACAGGCUGAGGCCACGCCCUGCAGAAGCUGGAGGAACGAGCUGGAGGGAGCAGAGCCACAGAGGAGCCUUGGAAUUUCUGCCUUCACGUUUUGACUUGAUUGCAGUCCCCUGAUGAUGAGUGAAGUUCAGCGCCUUUUCAUGUGCCUGUUGACCGUUUGUCUGUCUUCUUUGGAGAAAUGUUUGUUCUCAGCGUGUUGCAAUGUGCUGCUGUUUGCAUCUUCUCCGGGAGAAGCCUGUUUGUGGAUUACAAUAAGCAGUUUCAGUUAAGUGAACUUUCAAAAAGCAGACAAGCAACUUAAGAGGAUUUCUGCAACAUAUUUAUAGAUCGAAGAUGGGACUAAAGGCCAGCAAGAGAGAACCACAAGCUAAGGGCUGAACUGUUACACUUUAUAGAAUGAGGAAAGAUGACGAUGACCUAAUGGAGUCUGACAUUACAUUAACCCCCCAAAUUCAGAGUGAUCAAAAAUAUCAGAUGAAAUAUGGGCAAACAUCUGUUUGCUGUUGUUGAUAACAGCUCACCCUAAGUGUGUAUU